rnacentral:snoRNA from 1 species
ACUCCCGUUCUUGGCAGGCCCUGGCCGCCUCGUGCCCGGGUCUGUGAUGUCUGGAGGUAGAGCAGUGACUCUUACACGG